GAAAAAAUUGUGUAUAAUUAAUUGAGUAAUUGAUUAAGAAUAAGCUGAUAAAAACAAUUAAAAAUUUUAUAGACCUAAUAUCACAGGUAUCAAACGUCUAGAACGAUAUAUCGCAGUCAAGGAAACCAAAAGCUUCUGAAGCGAUCUCGUUUUAAUUGCUACAUUGUAUCUCUUCACCAAGCAUUGUCUUCUGAAGAUAAGCACCAAAUGUUUUGACAAACUUUUACAGAAAAAUCACUCAAAACAAAUUUUAAUUGGUUUAUUUGUAUAUUUUUAUUUUUUCGAUCCCUCCAUUUUAUUGUUAGCAAAGCUUCAGAGAAUUUCAAUAUUUCUCCGAAUUUCUAGACGUUACGUAAAUAUUCACCGAGUACUCCGGUUUUACUAGUCAAAACUACUAACUUCCUCUAGGAUCGAUGGUUUGAGGUGAGAAUCGACACGAUUUUUCACCCGUUCAGUCAAAGCUGGCGUUCCACGACGAAGUGGUCCAUCCUCUUCACUGCUGACUUACUACACCAGCAAACACACAACUCACAACCUAUGAGGACGAUACCACAAUCCUGUCUGCACACUCUAAUCCUAUCCAAGCCACAGAAGCAAUCCAACAUCUGAACUUAUUGGUGCCCUCGGUGGAUUCGGUUGAACGAGCAGAAAAGCCAACGAGUAACGUUUACGCUCAAACGACCUUCUCACCAGUACACAUAAAAAACAAGGACCGAGAGGACGUAAGAGCGGCGCUAGCCAAAAGGAGAAGAACAACUUUUGCCCCUACUGCCCUUACAAAAGUUACAGGAAGGACUACGUCAAAGUGCACAUUUACAACAAACACGUCGGAAAGACGAACUCGACUAUCGUCGUGACAAAUCUACCGCAAUAAAAGACGCGUCGUUAAUUUUCAUUACGCCAGAAUUACAAAAAUAUUUGAAAUUUUUGAUGUACAUAUGGACAAAAUCUGCUGUAAAGAGGCGUACCUAUGUAAAAGUUUUUUCGACAAUUUCAAACUGCAUGCGUUCAACAGGCUUGAAAAAUAUAUGUAUAACUGUAUAACUAAAUAAAAUAAAUACACAAAGAUCGUCUGAUAUUA